rnacentral:tRNA from 1 species
GAGGAUAUAAUUCAGUGGUAGAGUGUGUGCUUAGCAGGCAUGAGGUCCUGGGUUCAAGCCUCGGUACCUCCA